UUCUAGCCCGGAUCGCAAUGGAUACUGAAAUUUCGGGAGCAAUGAAGAGCCGGUCGGAAA
rnacentral:misc_RNA from 1 species